UGUGGCUCAGUGGUAGAGCACUUACCUAGUAUUUGUGAGACUCUGGGUUCAAUUCUCAGCA
rnacentral:tRNA from 1 species